UACGUAGGGGGCAAGCGUUGUCCGGAUUUAUUGGGCGUAAAGAGCGUGUAGGCGGCUAGAUAGGUCCGUUGUGAAACGUCGAGGCUCAACCUCGAGACGUCGAUGGAAACCAUCUGGCUAGAGUCCGGAAGAGGAGAGUGGAAUCCGUGGUGUAGCGGUGAAAUGACGCAGAUAUCAGGAAGAACACCUGAGGCGAAGGCGGGCUACUGGGCCGGAUACUGACGCUGAUGCGCGAAAGCCAGGGGAGGCAAAACGGG
rnacentral:rRNA from 1 species